rnacentral:rRNA from 1 species
ACAUGCAAGUCGAGGGGCAGCAUGAUUGAAGCUUGCUUCAAUUGAUGGCGACCGGCGCACGGGUGAGUAACGCGUAUCCAACCUUCCGUACACUCAGGGAUAGCCUUUCGAAAGAAAGAUUAAUACCUGAUGGUAUGAUGAGAUUGCAUGAUAGCAUCAUUAAAGAUUUAUCGGUGUACGAUGGGGAUGCGUUCCACUAGGUAGUAGGCGGGGUAAUGGCCCACCUAGCCGACGAUGGAUAGGGGUUCUGAGAGGAAGGUCCCCCACAUUGGAACUGAGACACGGUCCAAACUCCUACGGGAGGCAGCGGUGAGGAAUAUUGGUCAAUGGACGAGAGUCUGAACCAGCCAAGUAGCGUGAAGGAUGAAGGUCCUACGGAUUGUAAACUUCUUUUAUAAGGGAAUAAAACCUCCCACGUGUGGGAGCUUGUAUGUACCUUAUGAAUAAGCAUCGGCUAACUCCGUGCCAGCAGCCGCGGUAAUACGGAGGAUGCGAGCGUUAUCCGGAUUUAUUGGGUUUAAAGGGAGCGCAGACGGGUCGUUAAGUCAGCUGUGAAAGUUUGGGGCUCAACCUUAAAAUUGCAGUUGAUACUGGCGUCCUUGAGUGCGGUUGAGGUGUGCGUAAUUCGUGGUGUAGCGGUGAAAUGCUUAGAUAUCACGAAGAACUCCGAUUGCGAAGGCAGCACACUAAGCCGUAACUGACGUUCAUGCUCGAAAGUGUGGGUAUCAAACAGGAUUAGAUACCCUGGUAGUCCACACGGUAAACGAUGGAUACUCGCUGUUGGCGAUAUACAGUCAGCGGCUUAGCGAAAGCGUUAAGUAUCCCACCUGGGGAGUACGCCGGCAACGGUGAAACUCAAAGGAAUUGACGGGGGCCC